GCGAGUCUAAAGGGCUUCGGUCCUUGGCUGACGGCUCAGUAACACGCGGAUAACCUGCCCUAGGGUGGGGGAUAAUCUCGAGAAAUUGAGCAUAAUACCCCAUAGGUCUAGAAUGCUGGAAUGCCUCUAGACUGAAAGCCCCGGCGCCCUAGGAUGGGUCUGCGGCCUAUCAGGUUGUAGUGGGUGUAACGGACCCACUAGCCUUCGACGGGUACGGGCCUUGAGAGAGGUAGCCCGGAGAUGGACUCUGAGACACGAGUCCAGGCCCUACGGGGCGCAGCAGGCGCGAAAACUUCGCAAUGUGGGAAACCACGACGAGGGGAUUCCAAGUGCCAAUGCACUGCAUUGGCUGUUCAUGUGCCUAAAAAGCACGUGAAGUAAGGGCUGGGUAAGACGGGUGCCAGCCGCCGCGGUAAUACCCGCAGCCCGAGUGGUGAUCGCUAUUAUUGAGCCUAAAGCGUCCGUAGCCGGUCUGAUAAAUCCUUGGGUAAAUCGGGCAGCUUAACUGUCCGAAUUCCGAGGAGACUGUCUGACUAGGGACCGGGAGAGGUCAGAGGUACUCCGGGGGUAGGGGUGAAAUCCUGUAAUCCUCGGGGGACCACCAGUGGUGAAGGCGUCUGACUAGAACGGAUCCGACGGUAAGGGACGAAGCCCUGGGGCGCAAACCGGAUUAGAUACCCGGGUAGUCCAGGGUGUAAACGCUGCAGGCUUGGUGUCGGGGGUCCUACGGGGCACUCGGUGCCGGAGAGAAGUUGUUAAGCCUGCCGCUUGGGGAGUACG
rnacentral:rRNA from 1 species